rnacentral:lncRNA from 1 species
CACAUGCUACUAUUUUUAUUCAUCUAUAUGUAGACACACACACUUCUUCCAAGAGUUGUAUACAUGCUAAAUUUGUGCUCUACUAUUCAUCUGUAUCUCUGUACCUAAGUCUUCCUAUCUUACUUGCUAUACCUCUGUGGCUGCUGUUCCUGGGACAUGAUAGGGAACAAGAUGAGCAACAUCAUGCUUUGGAUCCUAAAUUAUCCCAAAAGAUCAUAUGCUAAAGUUUUGGUCCGUAACUUUGGAAAAUGAUGGAACCCUGAAGAGGUGGAGCACAGUUGGGGAAAAUUAGGUCACCAUAACCAGGCCACUGAAAUGGGACCUCACCUUCUUUCUUUCUUUUCUUUGUUUUCCUGACCCGUGAUGUAGGCAGACUUCCAUGCCAUGUUCUCCUACCAUGAUGCACUGAGCCCUCAUGGGCCCAAAAUAAUGAGACAAGUGGCAAUGGGCUGAAGCCUCUGUAACAAGAACUUUUUCUUCUUUUCAGUUGGUUUUUUUUUUUCAGGUGUUCUGUUAGCGACAGAGAGAAGACUAGUGUAGACAUAGAAGGAAGAACACAUGGAGGAUAGAACUCAUAACAGGGAUCACAGUCUACCAGAUGGGAGCCAAGAUCCAAAAGAAACAGUCAGGGAGAACACUACAUCUGCAUGAUGCCCAUAGCAAGUGAUUCACUCCAGAUAUUCUGUUAGAAGUGGAACCUGCUUCCUUAUGUCUUCUGGGUAAAGUACAGAGUUGGUAAUGCUACCGCAAGGCAAAUCAGUCCAAAGUACAUGAGGUUCCCCCCAUCCCCACCUGUGAUAAGUAUGUGGCUUUAUCAAGAGAAUUAGAACCUGGUGGUAUACUUCAAGAACGCAUGGACCCAAGCGAUGAACUUUUCUUGUCUGGGAAGGGCUAUGUAGAUGAUGGAGCCAAAGAACCUUCUAGCAUGUUCAUUGAGUUACUAGCAGGAAAGGAGAGGAACAGGAGGCCUUGCAACUGGUAGAGGUUGAAAAGGAGACAAACACGCAACAAUCUCUGUGCUGAGGCACACGGGCAGGCAAUAGCACAGCCAUUUCCUUACUGUCCUAAAGAAACCUAUUCUCUGAUGUCCCCUCUGUCCUCCUCAUAGGCUGCCACCUGAACUGCCACAAAAGUGAGUCAUCCACCUCCUCUAAACACACUUGUGCAUGAAGGGUAGCCCUGAGAAAAAUCUAUAGCAUGCUUAAGUUCUGAAGGGCCUGGAUUUUCUGGGUCCGUUGAGGACAAGAAAGAUGGAGCCUUCAGUUUCCUGAUCUUUGCACUAUGUCACUGUGCCUUUGCUGUGCCACCUCCUUUGCUUGCCACUGCUGUUGCCAGGCCAGGGAGUCACAGCCUUGGCAGCCAAGCUCCAGGAGACCUGAGUCCAAAACUGUAGGUUUGGCAGUGAUGAGCAGUUGAAGAGCAGCAGGCCCCUAAACUAUAAACAUCGGAAGUGAAAAUUCUUUUUAAUCGCAAUGAAUGAAAAGCUCUCUGGAUCCCCUGGAAGAUGGUGUGAAGGAAGCCCUCUUCGGCGCCAGUUCGAGAGCCAACCAGGAUGCUCCAAGGUCAGGUAUGGAAGAGAUUUAACAUUGAUUACCCCCUUGUGAUCUAUACCGUUGGAUAUUCAGGUAUUACUGUAUGUGUAACAGCUAAAACAAGAGAGGAAGGAAAAUAAAGGCAGUGGACCUGAACGAGGGGCAUCGACAAUAGCAGGUGAAACCGGCCCCUCAUGACCAUAGCAGCAUCUCUUAUGACAACCUAUCCCACUAUACCCAACCUCUUUCUCUCUCUCUGUCUUAUCCUUAAAAAAAUGCUAAGCCCACACUCUUGUGUUUUCGCUUUUCUGGAGGAGAAAUGUGCAGUGGAAAUGAUCAAAACAAGGUACUGUGGAAGAAAGACGUGAGCAUGAUUAUUCACCGGCUGAUUCCCACGUGGACACCACUCUUGAAGUCAUUCCCCUGGCCUUCUCCUUUUCCCUCUCGCUUUCCCAUUAGGAGGAGCCCAUCAUUCUUCAUGUUAUCAACAUGAUUAAUAUAGUAGGUGGCCCAGGGCCAUUCCUGAG